rnacentral:rRNA from 1 species
CCCUUAGAUGUCCUGGGCCGCACGCGCGUUACACUGAUGCAUUCAACGAGCCUAUAACCUUGGCCGAGAGGCCUGGGCAAUCUUGGUAACGUGCAUCGUGAUAGGGAUAGAUUAUUGAAAUUAUUAAUCUUGAACGAGGAAUUCCUAGUAAACGCAGAUCAUCAAUCUGCAUUGAUUACGUCCCUGCCCUUUGUACACACCGCCCGUCGCACCUACCGAUUGGAUGGUCCGGUGAAGCCUCGGGAUUGUGGUUCUUGCCGCUUUAUUGUGGCGUGACCGCGAGAACUUGUCUAAACCUUAUCAUCUAGAGGAAGGUGAAGUCGUAACA